rnacentral:rRNA from 1 species
UGCCUACGGGAGGCAGCAGUGGGGAAUAUUGGGCAAUGGGCGCAAGCCUGACCCAGCAACGCCGCGUGAAGGAAGAAGGCUUUCGGGUUGUAAACUUCUUUUAUUCGGGACGAAGAAAGUGACGGUACCGAAUGAAUAAGCCACGGCUAACUACGUGCCAGCAGCCGCGGUAAUACGUAGGUGGCAAGCGUUAUCCGGAUUUAUUGGGUGUAAAGGGCGUGUAGGCGGGAAUGCAAGUCAGAUGUGAAAUCCGGGGGCUCAACCCCCGAACUGCAUUUGAAACUGUUGGUCUUGAGUAUCGGAGG